rnacentral:rRNA from 1 species
AUUGAACGCUGGCGGCAGGCUUAACACAUGCAAGUCGAGCGGAGAUGAGGUGCUUGCACCUUAUCUUAGCGGCGGACGGGUGAGUAAUGCUUAGGAAUCUGCCUAUUAGUGGGGGACAACAUUCCGAAAGGAAUGCUAAUACCGCAUACGUCCUACGAGAGAAAGCAGGGGAUCUUCGGACCUUGCGCUAAUAGAUGAGCCUAAGUCGGAUUAGCUAGUUGGUGGGGUAAAGGCCUACCAAGGCGACGAUCUGUAGCGGGUCUGAGAGGAUGAUCCGCCACACUGGGACUGAGACACGGCCCAGACUCCUACGGGAGGCAGCAGUGGGGAAUAUUGGACAAUGGGGGGAACCCUGAUCCAGCCAUGCCGCGUGUGUGGAGAAGGCCUUAUGGUUGUAAAGCACUUUAAGCGAGGAGGAGGCUACUGAGACUAAUACUCUUGGAUAGUGGACGUUACUCGCAGAAUAAGCACCGGCUAACUCUGUGCCAGCAGCCGCUGUAAAAC